rnacentral:rRNA from 2 species
CAGCAGCCGCGGUAAUUCCAGCUCCAAUAGCGUAUACUAAAGCUGUUGCAGUUAAAAAGCUCGUAGUUGGAUUUCGGGUCGGCGUGGUCGGUCAGCCGCAAGGUAUGUUACUGGUCGCGCUCUCCUUCUUCGCCAAGACUACGUGUGCUCUUAAUUGAGUGUGCGCAGGAUUUGCGACGUUUACUUUGAAAAAAUUAGAGUGUUCAAAGCAGGCUCGUGCUUGAAUACAUAAGCAUGGAAUAAUGGAAUAGGACUUUGGUUCUAUUUUGUUGGUUUCUAGAACCGAAGUAAUGAUUAAUAGAGACAGUUGGGGGCAUUCGUAUUUCGUUGUCAGAGGUGAAAUUCUUGGAUUUACGAAAGACGAACUAAUGCGAAAGCAUUUGCCAAGAAUGUUUUCGUUAAUCAAGAACGAAAGUUAGAGGAUCGAAGACGAUCAGAUACCGUCCUAGUUCUAACCAUAAACGAUGCCGACUAGGGAUCGGCGGGUGUUAUUGUAUGACCCCGUUGGCACCUUAUGGGAAACCAAAGUUUUUGGGUUCCGGGGGAAGUAUGGUUGCAAAGCUGAAACUUAAAGGAAUUGACGGAAGGGCACCACCAGGAGUGGAGCCUGCGGCUUAAUUUGACUCAACACGGG